CUCCCAUCAACUAAAACUAAUCACUCACAACACCCCACCAUCAUUCCUCUCUUUCCUACUGAUAACGCUUGGUGUCCGGUCAAGGCGCUAGACCACCUCUGGUCAACCCAUCACGCGCACUUACCAGACUCUCCACUCUUAACACUACAAGGGCACCCGCUCACCACGGCUAAAUUCACGGCACACGUCAGAUCGUUACUAUCUAAACUGUGUU